AGAGCAUAGGGCGAAUGCCUUGGCACUAGGAGCCGAAGAAGGACGUGAUAAGCUGCGAUAAGCUACGGUAAGGCGCAAAUAGCCAAUAACCCGUAGAUUUCCGAAUGAGGGAACUCAAUUAUGGUAAUGCAUAAUUAUCCUAUGAUGAAUAUAUAGUCAUAGAGAAGGUAACCCGGAGAACUGAAACAUCUAAGUAACCGGAGGAAGAGAAAGAAAAAUCGAUUUUCAAAGUAGCGGCGAGCGAAAUGGAAAGAGCCCAAACCACAGAAGCUGUGGGGUUGUGGACCACCAAAACGAGAAUGAAGCAUAGCCAAAUUGUCUGGAAAGGCAAGACAAAGAGGGUGAAAUCCCCGUAGGCGAAAUGUAGAGUUUUCAGGGUGGCACCAGAGUAGGGCGGGACACGUGAAACCCUGUCUGAAGUAUGGGAGGACCACCUCCUAAGGCUAAAUACUACCUAGUGACCGAUAGAGAAUAGUACCGUGAGGGAAAGGUGAAAAGAACCCCGGAAGGGGAGUGAAAUAGAAUCUGAAACCUUAUGCUUACAAGCAGAGGGAGCAAAGAGGGUAGCCUCUAAGUGACCUCGUACUUUUUGUAGAACGGGCCAACGAGUUAUGGUGUGUAGCAAGGUGAAGGCGUGAAGCGCAACAGCCGAAGUGAAAGCGAGCCUUAAUAGGGCGAGAAGUUGCAUGCUGUAGACCCGAAACCGGGUGAUCUAUCCAUGUGCAGGUUGAAGCGAGAGUAAAAUCUCGUGGAGGACCGAACCUGUAUCUGUUGAAAAAGGUUAGGAUGACGUGUGGAUAGGGGUGAAAUUCCAAUCGAACUCGGAGAUAGCUGGUUCUCCUCGAAAUAGCUUUAGGGCUAGCCUCAAGGAAAGAUUAACGGAGGUAGAGCACUGAAUGUUUGCGGGACCUUCACCGGUUACCAAAAACUAUCAAACUCCGAAUGCCGUAUAAUUAUACUUGGGAGUCAGACUAUGUGAGAUAAGUUUCAUAGUCGAAAGGGAAACAGCCCAGACCUACAGCUAAGGUCCCAAAAUAUAAGUUAAGUGGAAAAGGAUGUGAAGUUGCACAAACAGCUAGGAUGUUGGCUUAGAAGCAGCCAUACAUUUAAAGAGUGCGUAACAGCUCACUAGUCGAGUGAUUUUGCGCCGAAGAUAAACGGGGCUAAAACUUAUUACCGAAGCUUGGGAAUUUAAAAUAAAUUGGUAGAGGAGCGUCCUAUGUGGGUUGAAGUUGUGCCGUAAGGCAUGGUGGACUGCAUAGGAGUGAGAAUGUUGGCAUGAGUAGCGAGAGACAGGUGAGAAUCCUGUCGGCCGAAAAUCUAAGGUUUCCUGAGCAAGGUUCGUCCGCUCAGGGUUAGUCGGGACCUAAGCUGAGGGCGAAAGCCAUAGGCGAUGGACAACAGGUUGAUAUUCCUGUACCACCGAUAGUCGUUAAGAGUGAAGUGGGGACACAGAAGGAUAGGUUAAGCGUGCCGUUGGUAGAGCACGUACAAGCGUUAAGGUAGUUGCGGCAGGCAAAUCCACUGCAAUAAUACUGAGGCGUUAUGUGGAGGGAAAUUAAGUACCGGAAGUGACUGAUUUCAUGCUGUCAAGAAAAUCCGCUAGCAAGACUAAAGGUGCCCGUACCGCAAACCGACACAGGUAGAUGAGGAGAGAAUCCUAAGGCCAGCGAGAUAACUAUUGUUAAGGAACUCGGCAAAAUAACCCCGUAACUUUGGGAGAAGGGGUACCUACGCAAGUAGGUCGCAGUGAAUAGGCCCAGGCGACUGUUUAGCAAAAACACAGGUCUCUGCAAAAGCGAAAGCUGAAGUAUAGGGGCUGACGCCUGCCCGGUGCUGGAAGGUUAAGGUGAAGUGUAAGGGUAACCGAAGCACAGAACUUAAGCCCCAGUAAACGGCGGCCGUAACUAUAACGGUCCUAAGGUAGCGAAAUUCCUUGUCAGGUAAGUUCUGACCCGCACGAAAGGCGUAACGAUCUGGGCGCUGUCUCAACAAUAGACUCGGUGAAAUUGUAGUACCGGUAAAGAUGCCGGUUACCCGCAGCAGGACGGAAAGACCCCGUGGAGCUUUACUGUAACUUGAUAUUGAGUUUCGGUGUUAUGCGUACAGGAUAGGUGGGAGACUAUGAAUUUGGAGCGCCAGUUUCAGAGGAGUCACUGUUGGGAUACCACCCUUGUAGCAUUGGAAUUCUAACCCGGUAGCAUUAUCUGCUACGGGGACAGUGUCUGGUGGACAGUUUGACUGGGGCGGUCGCCUCCUAAAGAGUAACGGAGGCGCCCAAAGGUUCCCUCAGAAUGGUUGGAAAUCAUUCGUAGAGUGUAAAGGCAGAAGGGAGCUUGACUGCGAGACCAACAAGUCGAGCAGGGACGAAAGUCGGGCUUAGUGAUCCGGUGGUUCCGAGUGGAAGGGCCAUCGCUCAACGGAUAAAAGCUACCCCGGGGAUAACAGGCUGAUACCGCCCAAGAGUUCACAUCGACGGCGGUGUUUGGCACCUCGAUGUCGGCUCGUCUCAUCCUGGGGCUGGAGUAGGUCCCAAGGGUUGGGCUGUUCGCCCAUUAAAGAGGUACGCGAGCUGGGUUCAGAACGUCGGGAGACAGUUCGGUCCCUAUCCGCUGUGGGCGUUGGAAAUUUGAGUGGAGCUGUUCCUAGUACGAGAGGACCGGAAUGGACAUACCUAUGGUGUACCGGUUGUUCUGCCAAGGGCAUAGCCGGGUAGCUAAGUAUGGAAAGGAUAAGCGCUGAAAGCAUCUAAGUGCGAAGCCAACCACAAGAUAAGAUUUCCUCCAGCAAUGGUAAGACCCGUGAGAGACCAUCACGUUGAUAGGUCGGAGGUGUAAGUGCAGUAAUGUAUUUAGCUGACCGAUACUAAUAGGUCGAACGCUUGACCA
rnacentral:rRNA from 1 species